GCUAACAGUGGCGGCUGAUCCCGGACCUCCUUCGGGGAGACCAGCAAGCGGCCAAUGGCUGUCGAUAUUCAACCAGCCUGCCUUGGACUUUACUGUGGGAAGACCCUAUUAUUUAAAAAUGGUUCAACUGAAAUAUAUGGAGAAUGUGGGGUGUGUCCAAGAGGACAGAGAACAAAUGCACAGAAAUACUGUCAGCCAUGCACAGAGUCUCCAGAACUUUAUGACUGGCUGUAUCUUGGAUUUAUGGCUAUGCUUCCCCUUGUUUUACAUUGGUUCUUCAUCGAAUGGUAUUCAGGGAA